CUGGGAUUACAGGCACCCGCCACCAUGCCCAUCUAAUUUUUUGUAUUUUUAGUAGAGAUGGGAUUUCACUAUGUUGGCCAGGCUGGUCUCAAAUUCCUGACAUCGUGAUCCGCCCACCUCAGCCUCCCAAAGUGCUAGGAUUACAGGCGUGAGCCACCACACCUGGCCUGGUGCCGUGCCCGGCCUGGCUGGUUAUUUGUUAAAGCACUGGCUUUGCUGUUCAGUAGAGCCUUGGAUUUGCCGGCUUCUCCCUGCAGCCCCUGGCUCAGUGAGCAGGCACACGUCUCGGUCCCUUCAACAUACGCUGAGUGGAGUCUGGUCAGGGUAGUGUCCUAAGUAUGUUUCUUUCAGAAAAUAGCUUGAAGAAAAUGUCAGAGUAACAUUUGUUUCUCCAUUAAAAGCAAUAAACUCUCAAAAGUAGGAUUUCUGGAGUUGAAAAGUAAACUGAAAUGAAAAUAUCACUAGACGAGCUCACAGCAGAAUUGAGCAGGCAGAAGAGUCAGACAACUUGUGAACACAGGUCACCUGAGAUCAUCUCGCUUGAGGAACAGAAAGAAUGAGUAAAAAAAAUUAACAGAAAUCUGUGACCCCCUCAAGCACACUGACACCACCCCAUACAGUGGCAUUCCAGAAGGAGAGCAGAAACGAUGGGUGAGAAACAGCCUGACCAUCUCAGUGGAUCAGAAACACAGAUCUUACAUCCAGGGAGCUCGGUGAACUCCAGACAGGUGAACUCGGAGAAGAGCUGCGCUUAGACAAGUGGAAAUCAGAACAUCCGACACCGAGACUCUAGAAUUAGAGAGCAGCGCUCUCCGCCUACAAAGCGUUGUCGAGAUCAGCAGCUCCAUCGUCCCUUCACAGAACUGAGCAUGUGUGGGAGGAGGCGGCCAGUUUCUGGUGAUGAACAUACAUUGUCCCCACGUGGCCGACCACAGUGUGAGGACUCACCUGCCUGCAACAUCCUGCCCUGCCUGAGCCACCAGAGUAGGAGGGGACAGCCUGGGCGCCACACACAAGGCACUGUCUUGGUUCUGAGCCUGGGGAAGUGGUGGGGCUCCGAGUGGAGGAAAGCGUCUCUGCUUCGUCGUCAGCCGCUACCUCCCCCAACCUGUCCCCUGUGCCUGCCAGGACCUUGCCGCACUGCUGGAGCAGAUCGGGUGUCUGAAGUACCUGCAGGUGUUUGAGGAGCAGGACGUGGACCUCCGCAUCUUUCUGACCCUCACUGAGAGCGACCUGAAGGAAAUUGGCAUCACGCUGUUUGGGCCCAAGAGGAAGAUGACGUCCGCCAUUGCCCGCUGGCACAGCAGUGCCCGCCCACCCGGGGAUGCCCUGGAGCUGGCCUACGCCGACCGGCUGGAGGCUGAGAUGCAGGAGCUCGCCAUCCAGCUGCACAAGCGCUGCGAGGAGGUAGAGGCCGUGCGGGGCCAGGUGUGCCAGGAGCAGGAGCUGCGCGCCGUGGUGGAGAGCUGCCUGCUGGAGCAGGACCGCGCCCGCGAGGACCUCCAGGCCCGGCUGCAGGAGACGUGGGCCCUGGCCCGGGAUGCUGCCCUCAUCCUGGACCAGCUGCGAGCCUGUCAAGCUGAGCUGUCAACUCGAGUGAGGCGGGACCAGCCCCUUGGUGCAGCCACUCUGGGCCUAGCCGUCCCCCCAGCUGACUCCAAGGGCUGGCAAGCGUCCCUGCAGGCCAUGAGCCUCCCCGAGCUCUCGGGAGCCCUGGAGGACCGUGUCCGUGAGAUGGGGCAAGCACUGUGCUUAGUGACCCAGAGCCUGGAGAAGCUGCAGGUGCUGAACGGGAAGAAGUGGCGGGAGACCUAGCCCGCGGGCCGAAUCUGACGUUGGGUGAUUGGUCCACCCUGAAGCUGUGUGCCAGGGAGUGAGGAGGACAGUGAGCAGGCAGCUGCCACGUGCAGCCCAGGCCCAGUGGGGGCCAGAGGAUCAGGCCCCGGGAGCAGCCGGCAGACAGAGGCAAGACGGGGGCUGCGGCCCUGGCUCGGCAGCUCGGGCCAGCACUGAGGCGGGACGAGGGCCUCACCCAGAACCUCGUGGUGAGGCCCCAGAGUUCAUGGGCUGCCCUGACCCAUACCAGGCAGGGCCCUGGGGGGAAAGUGUAUCCAUAUACACACACAGGUGCCAACUGAGGUGGGACCUUACGAGUGAGGACUGGGGCACCUGGAAAAUGCCAUUUUUUGGAAAAUAAAAUUUAAGAACAGCU
rnacentral:sRNA from 1 species